GAUAAACGCUGGCGGCGCACAUAAUGCAUGCAAGUUGAACGGACUUACUCGAAAUUUUUAUAUCUUGAAUCGGUUAGUGGCGGACUGGUGAGUAAUGCGUAAGGAACCUGCCUAUCAGAGGUGAAUAACAGUGAGAAAUCAUUGCUCAUACUGCAUUUUCCAUCGAUAUCACAUGAUAACAAUGGGCAAGGGGCAAUCCGCUAAUAGAUGGCCUGGCGCCUGAUUAGCUAGUUGGUGGGGUAACGGCCUACCAAGUCGACGAUCGGUAGCCGGGCUGAGAGGUUGAGGGGCCGCAUUGGGAGGGAGGUACGGGCCGGACUCCUACGGGAAGCAGCAGACGGGAAUAGUGCGCAAUGGGGGAGAGUGUGACGCGGUGACGGAGCGUAUAGGAAGGAGAUUAGCGGAUUAUAAACUAUUGACGAUAGAGGAGAGAAAGGACGGUACCUAAGGAGGAAGCUCCGGCUAACUACGUG
rnacentral:rRNA from 1 species